UCAAAAUCGGUGCUCCAUUCAAUGGAACUCCAUUCCAUUCGUUGGGGACUCUGAGCUUUUUCACGCUACAUUUAAUGCUUUCCAUUUUAUUUGCCACACAAUUCAGGAAAAGUUCGCGGCAGCUGCAGCAUAUGGCGCUCGCUGGGGGGCCAUAAUUGAGUAUUGACCAAACAGCAGACGACAACAAAAUGCGGGGGCUGUCGUGACCGACGGCAAUUCCCGCUGAAUGUUCCGAACCGAAAUAGCUCCCCCUUGCACUCGACACCCAACGAAUAUAAAUGCUGGAAUAUAUAAAUACACGUUCUAUAAUGGCGGAUGGAGGAAUGGAGGAGCCCAGCGCUCGUCAUAAACUGUUAAUCGGGCAAUUAAGACCGGGCUUAGAGCUCCUGUGUUCGAAAUUGAAGUGGCCAAAGCCCAAAGUUGACCAGCUACCAGCCGCACGGAGAAUCCGCAAAUCCGAGCUCAGCCUUUGAGUGGAGAGCAAUCAGGUUAAGUGUUGAACGCUUCCUGCGACUCCUUGUUUGGAGCUGCGACAGUGGGAUGAGCUCGAUAAAUAAUAAAUACCAUGAAUAAAAGUGUCCUGUGGAUACUUUUUAGAAUA